rnacentral:rRNA from 1 species
UCGGGAAUAUUGCGCAAUGGAGGAAACUCUGACGCAGUGACGCCGCGUGCAGGAAGAAGGUUUUCGGAUUGUAAACUGCUUUUAACAGGAAAGAAAAAAAUGACGGUACCUGUUGAAUAAGCUCCGGCUAACUACGUGCCAGCAGCCGCGGUAAUACGUAGGGAGCGAGCGUUAUCCGGAUUUAUUGGGUGUAAAGGGUGCGUAGACGGAAAUGCAAGUUAGUUGUGAAAUACCUCGGCUUAACUGAGGAACUGCAACUAAAACUAUAUUUCUUGAGUAUCGGAGGGGUUUGUGGAAUUCCUAGUGUAGCGGUGAAAUGCGUAGAUAUUAGGAAGAACACCGGUGGCGAAGGCGACAAACUGGACGAUAACUGACGUAGAGGCACGAAAGUGUGGGGAGCAAACAGGAUUAGAUACCCUGGUAGUCCACACCGUAAACGAUGGAUACUAGGUGUUGGCAAUGAAUAAUUGUCGGUGCCGGCGCUAACGCAAUAAGUAUCCCACCUGGGGAGUACGACCGCAAGGUUG